rnacentral:rRNA from 1 species
CAGGCCUAACACAUGCAAGUCGAACGGUAACAGGAAGCAGCUUGCUGCUUCGCUGACGAGUGGCGGACGGGUGAGUAAUGUCUGGGAAACUGCCUGAUGGAGGGGGAUAACUACUGGAAACGGUAGCUAAUACCGCAUAACGUCGCAAGACCAAAGAGGGGGACCUUCGGGCCUCUUGCCAUCGGAUGUGCCCAGAUGGGAUUAGCUAGUAGGUGGGGUAACGGCUCACCUAGGCGACGAUCCCUAGCUGGUCUGAGAGGAUGACCAGCCACACUGGAACUGAGACACGGUCCAGACUCCUACGAGAGGCAGCAGUGGGGAAUAUUGCACAAUGGGCGCAAGCCUGAUGCAGCCAUGCCGCGUGUAUGAAGAAGGCCUUCGGGUUGUAAAGUACUUUCAGCGGGGAGGAAGGGAGUGAGGUUAAUAACCUCAUUCAUUGACGUUACCCGCAGAAGAAGCACCGGCUAACUCCGUGCCAGCAGCCGCGGUAAU